rnacentral:rRNA from 1 species
GAUGAACGCUGGCGGCGUGCCUAAUACAUGCAAGUCGAGCGAACAGACGAGGAGCUUGCUCCUUUGACGUUAGCGGCGGACGGGUGAGUAACACGUGGAUAACCUACCUAUAAGACUGGGAUAACUUCGGGAAACCGGAGCUAAUACCGGAUAACAUGUUGAACCGCAUGGUUCAACAGUGAAAGACGGUUUUGCUGUCACUUAUAGAUGGAUCCGCGCCGCAUUAGCUAGUUGGUAAGGUAACGGCUUACCAAGGCAACGAUGCGUAGCCGACCUGAGAGGGUGAUCGGCCACACUGGAACUGAGACACGGUCCAGACUCCUACGGGAGGCAGCAGUAGGGAAUCUUCCGCAAUGGGCGAAAGCCUGACGGAGCAACGCCGCGGGAGUGAAGAAGGUCUUCGGAUCGUAAAACUCUGUUAUUAGGGAAGAACAAAUGUGUAAGUAACUAUGCACGUCUUGACGGUACCUAAUCAGAAAGCCACGGCUAACUACGUG